AAAAAAAAGGUUCAAAUCCAGCAUUUGAACACUUCAGCCAUUUUCUUUCUUCCCCAAAAUUUUUUCCCCCCAAUCUUUCCCUCCCUCUCUUCAUCUCCUCCCUCAACCCCACCGACCGCAACCCACGAGCCCACCACCGUCGACAACCAACUACCACCGCCACCGGUACGUCCAGCUCCAUCUCUGGAUCUCCGGCCAAAAGGUACCAUGCGUUCUCCAUCUCCGGUUCCGCUACGACGAAUCCAACUACCCAACCACCAUACCGCCACGAGCAGGCCCAGCCGAACUGCCACCGCCAACGAGCCCAUCCACCGUAAGGUUUUCUUUUUCUUUUCGAUUUUUCCUUUUGAUUUUCUCUCAAGAUCCGGGUUUUUAGUUGGUUUUGGGUGAGAUUUGGCUUCACAACCGCAACGACAUCAAUUGGAUUCUGGGUCCCAAAGCUUCUUGCAUUUCAUUCAAGGACUCUGCCUGUCGGUGCUUCGGCUUCCUGGUUUCUAAGAAGUAUAUUUUCACUAUCGACGAUGACUGCUUCACUUCCAGAGAUGACGCACAGGACACUAAGGGAUCUCAAGAUGGUGUAAUUACUUUUCUUGUUGACAUGUGCAGAGGGCAUUCCGUUUGUUAUAUCUGUGCAGAGGGCAUUGUGUUUGACAGUAUUUUGUAUAGUUCUUUUGCUUAUUUGACAGUAUUUUGAAUAGUUCUUUUGCUGCUUGCCUAUGAUACUAUCAUGGAGCAUCACGAUUUUGUCAUUGCUUUCUAUAAUGUUUGAGCAAUUUCUUUACCAUUUCUUUGGUUAUUUGUAAACAAUGUUUUGUCAUUUGAGAAAUCUUGACCGAGUUAAAAUACUA